GAUGAACGCUGGCGGCGUGCCUAACACAUGCAAGUCGAGCGAUCUCUUCGGAGAGAGCGGCGGACGGGUGAGUAACGCGUGGGUAACCUGCCCUGUACACACGGAUAACAUACCGAAAGGUAUGCUAAUACGGGAUAAUAUAUAAAAGUCGCAUGGCUUUUAUAUCAAAGCUUUUGCGGUACAGGAUGGACCCGCGUCUGAUUAGCUAGUUGGUAAGGUAACGGCUUACCAAGGCGACGAUCAGUAGCCGACCUGAGAGGGUGAUCGGCCACACUGGAACUGAGACACGGUCCAGACUCCUACGGGAGGCAGCAGUGGGGAAUAUUGCACAAUGGGCGAAAGCCUGAUGCAGUAACGCCGCGUGAGCGAUGAAGGCCUUCGGGUCGUAAAGCUCUGUCCUCAAGGAAGAUAAUGACGGCACUUGAGGAGGAAGCCCCGGCUAACUACGUGCCAGCCGCCGCCGUAA
rnacentral:rRNA from 1 species